rnacentral:rRNA from 1 species
UCAGAUUGAACGCUGGCGGCAUGCUUUACACAUGCAAGUCGAACGGCAGCACGAAAGAGCUUGCUCUUUUGGUGGCGAGUGGCGAACGGGUGAGUAAUACAUUGGAACGUACCGAGUAAUGGGGGAUAACUGUCCGAAAGGAUGGCUAAUACCGCAUACGCUCUGAGGAGGAAAGCGGGGGACCUUCGGGCCUCGCGUUAUUCGAGCGGCCAAUGUCUGAUUAGCUAGUUGGUGGGGUAAAGGCCUACCAAGGCGACGAUCAGUAGUGGGUCUGAGAGGAUGAUCCGCCACACUGGGACUGAGACACGGCCCAGACUCCUACGGGAGGCAGCAGUGGGGAAUUUUGGACAAUGGGCGAAAGCCUGAUCCAGCCAUGCCGCGUGUCUGAAGAAGGCCUUCGGGUUGUAAAGGACUUUUGUCAGGGAAGAAAGGGUUUGGGUUAAUACCCUGAGCUUAUG